CCUACGGGAGGCAGCAGUGAGGAAUAUUGGUCAAUGGACGAGAGUCUGAACCAGCCAAGUAGCGUGAAGGAUGACUGCCCUAUGGGUUGUAAACUUCUUUUAUAUGGGAAUAAAAUGUUCCACGUGUGGGAUUUUGUAUGUACCAUAUGAAUAAGGAUCGGCUAACUCCGUGCCAGCAGCCGCGGUAAUACGGAGGAUCCGAGCGUUAUCCGGAUUUAUUGGGUUUAAAGGGAGCGUAGGUGGAUUGUUAAGUCAGUUGUGAAAGUUUGCGGCUCAACCGUAAAAUUGCAGUUGAGACUGGCAGUCUUGAGUACAGUAGAGGUGGGCGGAAUUCGUGGUGUAGCGGUGAAAUGCUUAGAUAUCACGAAGAACUCCGAUUGCGAAGGCAGUUCACUGGACUGCAACUGACGCUGAGGCUCGAAAGUGUGGGUAUCAAACAGGAUUAGAUACCCCUGUAGUC
rnacentral:rRNA from 1 species